rnacentral:rRNA from 1 species
AACGAACGCUGGCGGCAUGCCUAACACAUGCAAGUCGAACGAGAUCUUCGGGUCUAGUGGCGCAUGGGUGCGUAACGCGUGGGAAUCUGCCCUUUGGUGCGGAAUAACAGUUGGAAACGACUGCUAAUACCGGAUGAUGACGAAAGUCCAAAGAUUUAUCGCCAGAGGAUGAGCCCGCAUAGGAUUAGCUAGUUGGUGUGGUAAAGGCGCACCAAGGCGACGAUCCUUAGCUGGUCUGAGAGGAUGAUCAGCCACACUGGGACUGAGACACGGCCCAGACUCCUACGGGAGGCAGCAGUGGGGAAUAUUGGACAAUGGGCGAAAGCCUGAUCCAGCAAUGCCGCGUGAGUGAUGAAGGCCUUAGGGUUGUAAAGCUCUUUUACCCGGGAUGAUAAUGUCAGUACCGGGAGAGUAAGCUCCGGCUAACUCCGUGCCAGCAGCCGCAGUAA